CCCCGUAGUUCAACUGAGAUAUAAAAGAUUUUAUCUGCGUUUUCAAGUUAUAAAGAAGAAAGAAAAAGUUCUUCACGAUGUAAUCCUAAACCUGUUUCUUGAUUCAGCAAAUAUAACAGAUUUCUGUUUACUUGAGUUUCUAAAAGUCCGGCUGUUGUGCGUCAUUCCCUAAAAUAAAGUUUAGUUAUUACCAAGAUGGCUGGAGUUGCCCAAGCUCUUCUUGAAGCUAGCAGAAGGAUGUCCGUUGGAACCCGUCCUACCUUAGUUAUUCAUCCAACAGUAGGAGGUACUGGAGAACCUCUCUCUCCUACUGGUAGUACACCUGGUCU